rnacentral:tRNA from 1 species
GCCGCGGUAGCUUAGUUGGUAGAGCAUCGGACGCGAUUUUUGAAGGUCGCAGGUUCGGUCCCUGCCCGCGGCA